UGACCUCGGAUCAGGUAGGGAUACCCGCUGAACUUAAGCAUAUCAAUAAGCGGAGGAAAAGAAACCAACAGGGAUUGCCUCAGUAACGGCGAGUGAAGCGGCAAGAGCUCAAAUUUGAAAUCUGGCCCCUCCGGGGUCCGAGUUGUAAUUUGCAGAGGAUGCUUCGGAUACGGCCCCCGUCUAAGUGCCCUGGAACGGGCCGUCGGAGAGGGUGAGAAUCCCGUCUGGGACGGGGUGUCCGUGUCCGUGUGAAGCUCCUUCGACGAGUCGAGUUGUUUGGGAAUGCAGCUCUAAAUGGGUGGUAAAUUUCAUCUAAAGCUAAAUAUUGGCCGGAGACCGAUAGCGCACAAGUAGAGUGAUCGAAAGAUGAAAAGCACUUUGAAAAGAGAGUUAAACAGCACGUGAAAUUGUUGAAAGGGAAGCGCUUGCGACCAGACUCGCCGGCGGGGUUCAGCCGGGAUUCGUCCCGGUGUACUUCCCCGCCGGCGGGCCAGCGUCGGUUUGGGCGGCCGGUCAAAGGCCUCCGGAAUGUAUCGCCCCCCGGGGCGUCUUAUAGCCGGAGGUGCAAUGCGGCCUGCCCGGACCGAGGAACGCGCUUCGGCACGGACGCUGGCAUAAUGGUCGUAAGCGACC
rnacentral:rRNA from 1 species